UACGUAGGUGGCAAGCGUUGUCCGGAAUUAUUGGGCGUAAAGCGCGCGCAGGUGGUUCCUUAAGUCUGAUGUGAAAGCCCACGGCUCAACCGUGGAGGGUCAUUGGAAACUGGGGAACUUGAGUGCAGAAGAGGAAAGUGGAAUUCCAAGUGUAGCGGUGAAAUGCGUAGAGAUUUGGAGGAACACCAGUGGCGAAGGCGACCACCUGGACUGAUACUGACACUGAGGUGCGAAAGCGUGGGGAGCAAACAGG
rnacentral:rRNA from 1 species